rnacentral:pre_miRNA from 2 species
UCUUAUGGACGAGCAAAUAAAAUGGUUUCUUGAGAUGCAAUCUGCUCCUGGUGAAGAUGCUGUGAA